AGCGUUUUUGUUUGUAAAAACAUGUGUAGUGUUAUAACAUACUUGAAAUAAUCCGCUUGUGCACAGUGCUUCACAUUUAGGAUUUAAGUAAAACUACAUACGUAGUUUUUAUGGAUAUCUGAACGCUAAACAACAUCCAUUGUUGGUCAUUUCGAGUCUAUUUUUCCCAGUCAUAUGAUUUUGCGGCAAUGAAUGAGCGCGGCAGCGCUUCAUCGUUUCUUCUCGGUCAGUCCUGUCACCUUCAUUCACAGACAGCAACUGAAACACGCCCCCUGCUGGCCGAGCUCGAGCCACAGGAACACGGAAGCAAAUGCCGAGCGCUUGCAAACUCAUCGCUUCAAUCACCGAGGAGAGUACAAGGACAUGAACCGAGAGCUUGGGACUAUGACUUCUGUGGAUAGUUCAUAAACCGUCAUCGUAUUAUCUCUGUACGUCCACUCAGCGUUACUGUAAAUCGUUUGACGCCUUUUCAUCCAUACAGAAGGGAACAGAAUGGCAUCGAUUUUGCUCACCAGGUCUCGGACUCCGUUGAUGAAAACAUCUAGGUCAUUAAAGAACGAAUUCAGGAAAGGAAAGUUGUCAGAAGGCGUAUGCUUUAACUGCAAUGCACUGCGGUUAGCCACAAACAGCAGUCAUGGUCUUCUUGGAAGCAGCAUGUGGCCGCAUGCAUCAUCUGUCCUGUACCUUGACAGUUCAUCAGCGCUUCAGCACCGCUUGUCCAGUUCACCUCGCCUUUACUGUGCCAUCUUUGUACCUGACCCUGCCCUGCCUGUCCACACCCACUCCACAUAUCCCAGGACGCUAACCUGGCCACAGAAUACCCCAGUCCGGUGGGUACAUACUACAGGCCGUCUCCAUGAUGAUUCAAAGGUGGAGCGUUCUUUGCGUACACUGAAAGAUAAAAAUAAAAAGCUUGAAGAGGGAGGACCGGUGUACAGUCCGACAGUGGAUGCAGAACCCGUGCGACGGACAAUACGUCAACGCGUGGUUGACGAAGUGAAGCACUACUAUCACGGGUUCCGCUUAUUGUGGAUAGACACGACCAUCGCUGUGCGGAUGCUCUGGAGGGUGCUGAACGGACACAUUCUGUCACGCCGAGAGAGGAGACAGUUCCUGAGGACGUGUGCAGAUGUCUUCCGGCUUGUGCCCUUUUUGGUCUUCAUCAUCGUUCCAUUUAUGGAGUUUCUGCUUCCUAUUGCAGUGAAGCUUUUCCCAAACAUGCUGCCGUCCACCUUUGAGACACAGUCCAAAAAGGAGGAAAGGCUGAAAAAGGAGCUGAGAGUGAAAUUAGAGAUGGCCAAGUUCUUGCAGGACACAAUUGAAGAGAUUGCACUAAGAAACAAAGCAGCUAAAGGCAACGUGACCGAGGAGUUCUCCACUUUCUUUCAGAAGAUUCGCGACUCGGGAGAGAGACCCAGUAAUGAGCAGAUCAUACGUUUCUCUAAGUUGUUUGAGGAUGAACUGACCUUAGAUAAUCUGACACGGCCGCAACUGGUGGCCCUGUGCAAGCUGCUGGAGCUGCAGUCCAUUGGCACCAACAAUUUCUUGCGCUUCCAGCUCAUCAUGAAACUCAGAGCCAUCCGUGCAGACGACAAGCUGAUAGCAGAGGAGGGAGUGGACAGUCUGAAUGUGAACGAGCUGCAGGCAGCAUGUCGUGUGAGAGGGAUGAGAGCUCUGGGAGUGACGGAGGAGAGACUGAGAGAGCAGCUUAAACAGUGGUUAGAGCUUCACCUCAAUCAACACAUCCCCACAUCUCUGCUGCUGCUGUCCCGAGCCAUGUUCCUGCCAGACACACUGUCCCCUGCAGACCAGCUUAAAACCACACUACAGAACCUGCCAGAGAUCAUGGCUAAAGAAGCGCAGAUGAAGGUGGCAGAGCUGGACUUCUCUAAAGUGGAUAACAAGACCAAGCUGGAGGCCACGCUACAGGAAGAGGCAGCCAUCCGAGAGGAAAAUAGAGAGCGGGAGCUGGAGAGACUGGCUGAUGCUGCAGAGAAAGCGAAGGAACUGGCCGCACAGGAGAGUGAGAUGGUGGCGUUCGAAGCAGAACGACGGGUGGAUGCAGAACAUGUCCUCUCCAAUGUAGAUGUGGCCAUCCAUUCAGAAACACUACGAGAUACUGCACCUGUGCUGGAGGGUAUUAAGGGGGAGGAAAUCACUAAGGAGGAGAUUGACAUGCUGAAUGAUGCCUGCACCAAACUGAAGGAGCAGAAGAAUCUCCUCACCAAAGAGAAAGAGGAGCUGGAGGACCUAAAGGAUGAUGUGCAGGAGUACAGCGAGGACUUGGAGGAGAUAAAGCGAGAGCUAUCCAAGACGGGACAGGAGAAAGUGGUGGAGGAGUCUAAGGCAAGUCAACGUCUGUCAAAGCGAGUCAACCGCAUGAUUGGCAGAAUGGAUAAGAUCAUCACUGAGCUGGAGAAGGACAAGGUAGUGCUAGACGGACAGAUGGACAGCAGCACCACACCACCGAUUGGAUUGUUCUUUGAGAAACAUAGUGACUUGCCAAGUGUGCUCUUGUCCUACAGGGAGAAUCUGAUAAGCAUCAACGAGCUCAUUACAGUCAUGAAGCAGAUCCAGAGCAUUCCUGAAGAGAAGCUGCUCAGAAUCGCAGACGCUCUCGACGAAAACAAAGAUGGCAAGAUAGACCUCGAUGAUGUCCUCAAGGUGGUAGAGCUGAUCGAUAAGGAGGACAUCGAUAUCUCCACCAACCAGGUGGCAGAGAUCAUGGUGAUGCUGCAGAAGGAGGAGAAGUUGGUGGAGAAGGAGAAAGCCAAGGAGAAGGUCGAGAAGGAGCAGGCAGCUAAACUCCAAAACUAGACUUGCCGUGUAGGGAAUAGAAAAGAUCCUGAAGCUUUUUGAGGUCAAUUAAUAUGUUAAUGAGAUUCCGAGUGAGGCUAAACCAAGGCUGACCUCCGCUCUGCAUUCAUAUAUAUAUAUAUGAACAAACUUUGCUUUGUUCAAAUUCGACUUUUGUGUAAUGAAUGAAUUGAGGAGAAAUGUAUUUAUUAGAAGGCAAAAGUAAUUCAGUAUGGAGUGCUGUACUGAAACCGUUGCUACGAAUUAAGUAUUAGUUCCCACAAUUUAUCAGUUUGUUCCCUUGUUUUAGGUAAAUCGUGUUGUACUAAUUUGCGACUUAUUGAUUCAUUCCCUCGCUUUAGUUAAAUUGUGGCCACAAAGUAGCACAACGUGGAAUGAAUUAAUAGGUUGUGGCUACAAUUUUUUUUAUUUUUUCCCUCAAAUGUCAUGUGCGGGGUGCCGUAAAUUCAGAAUAUUUGUUCAUUUGUUCUCGAAAAGGCCCUCUUAAAGGUGGAGUGGGUCAUUUCUGCGCCACUACUGGUACAAAACAAACUGUUUGUUUGAGCAGACUUGUUGGGCUGGACAUAAUGCCAUCAUCUCAACCAAUAGUGUGAGAUUGGGGUGGAUCAGUCAUUAUUUUUGUGGUGCAGAAAUUGCACACUUCAGCUAUAAGAUCCAACUAUAUUACCAUAAUUUUACACCAUUUCCUGAGAUCUAAGGUCAUUUCCUCUCUUUGCACAUUACACCACCUGUCCCCAUCAUUCCACUGCUCAUCCAGUUUGAUUUAGUUCUAUGUUUCUUUUCAGUUCACAAUCCAUUUUCAUGAGAUUCUUGAAUGUUGCUCAGAAGAUAUUAAUAUCACACUCAUGUUUAUUCAAUAACCAAAGAAGGUUUGUUAUGCUUCAUUUAUACUUGUACAUACACAUUCAAGCCACCAAGCACUGCAGCUUUGUCACACAGCAAAGGUCUGAAGUAGUAUUGAGAUGUGUAUCUUCAGCACUUGAGCUUUAUUCAGGGCAGAAGUUUUUGUACUGACUUGAAGAUGGUAGCAGAGUUAGUUUUUGAUGUGUUUUUUUUAUUCAGCUUUUAUCUUGGAUUUAUU